rnacentral:lncRNA from 1 species
GUGCACUCUCUCUCCCUGCUCCGGGAGCGCCCCGGAGCGGGCGGCAACCGUGAGGUCGGCUUGGAAAGUUUGGUCGUGCGAGGGUGGCGCAGCCGCGCAGCCACUUCCACCCGCUCACCCCGAGCGCGUGUGAAGGCGGCGGCCGCUGCCCCUGCGGGAGGCUCGCCGCGGACCUCGGUUGGUUUUGGUCUUCUCACUUUUGCUCUCUCGGAGGACUGCCAGGUGGGCGAUUCCUUUCAGGGAUGUUUGUUUU